GGAUCUCAUGUCUAGUAUAGCACUUUAUACUGUGAAACUGCGAAUGGCUCAUUAAAUCAGUUAUCGUUUAUUUGAUAGUACCUUACUACAUGGAUACCUGUGGUAAUUCUAGAGCUAAUACAUGCUAAAAACCCCGACUUCAGGAAGGGGUGUAUUUAUUAGAUAAAAAACCAACGCCCUUCGGGGCUCCUUGGUGAAUCAUAAUAACUUAACGAAUCGCAUGGCCUUGCGCCGGCGAUGGUUCAUUCAAAUUUCUGCCCUAUCAACUUUCGAUGGUAGGAUAGUGGCCUACCAUGGUGGCAACGGGUAACGGGGAAUUAGGGUUCGAUUCCGGAGAGGGAGCCUGAGAAACGGCUACCACAUCCAAGGAAGGCAGCAGGCGCGCAAAUUACCCAAUCCCGAUACGGGGAGGUAGUGACAAUAAAUACUGAUACGGGGCUCUUUUGGGUCUCGUAAUUGGAAUGAGAACAAUUUAAAUCCCUUAACGAGGAACAAUUGGAGGGCAAGUCUGGUGCCAGCAGCCGCGGUAAUUCCAGCUCCAAUAGCGUAUAUUAAAGUUGUUGCAGUUAAAAAGCUCGUAGUUGAACCUUGGGUCUGGCUGGCCGGUCCGCCUCACCGCGAGUACUGUCCGGCUGGACCUUUCCUUCUGGGGAACCUCAUGGCCUUCACUGGCUGUGGGGGGAACCAGGACUUUUACUGUGAAAAAAUUAGAGUGUUCAAAGCAGGCCUUUGCUCGAAUACAUUAGCAUGGAAUAAUAGAAUAGGACGUGCGGUUCUAUUUUGUUGGUUUCUAGGACCGCCGUAAUGAUUAAUAGGGAUAGUCGGGGGCGUCAGUAUUCAGCUGUCAGAGGUGAAAUUCUUGGAUUUGCUGAGACUACUACUGCGAAAGCAUUCGC
rnacentral:rRNA from 1 species